GCCGGAAUAGCUCAGUGGGAGAGCGUAGCACUCGUACCAACGCGAUCAGGUCCAAUGCUAAGGUCCACGGUUCAAUCCCGUGUUUCGGCA